UACGUAGGUGGCAAGCGUUGUCCGGAUUUACUGGGCGUAAAGGGCGUGCAGGCGGUUUGUUAAGUCUAGGGUGAAAGCUCCCGGCUCAACUGGGAGAGGUCCUUGGAUACUGGCGAACUUGAGGGAUGCAGAGGAAAGUGGAAUUCCCGGUGUAGUGGUGAUAUGCGUAGAUAUCGGGAGGAACACCAGUGGCGAAGGCGGCUUUCUGGGCAUUUCCUGACGCUGAGACGCGAAAGCGUGGGGAGCGAACCGGAUUAGAAACCCCCGUAGUCC
rnacentral:rRNA from 1 species